CCUACGGGAGGCUGCAGUGGGGAAUAUUGCACAAUGGGGGAAACCCUGAUGCAGCGACGCCGCGUGAAGGAAGAAGUAUUUCGGUAUGUAAACUUCUAUCAGUAGGGAAGAAAAUGACGGUACCUGACUCAGAAGCCCCGGCUAACUACGGGCCAGCAGCCCUGGUACUACGUAGGGGGCAAGCGUUAUCCGGAUUUACUGGGUGUAAAGGGAGCGUAGGCGGUUUAGCAAGUGCGAAGUGAAAGGCCGGGGCUCAACUCCGGGACUGCCUUUGAAACUGUUGGACUAGAUAGCAGGAGAGGUAAGUGGAAUGCCUAGUGUAGCGGUGAAAUGCGUAGAUAUUAGGCAGAACACCAGUGGCGAAGGCAGCUUACUGGACUGUAAAUGACGCUGAGGCUCGAAAGCGUGGGGAGCAAACAGGAUUAGAUACCCCUGUAGUC
rnacentral:rRNA from 1 species